rnacentral:rRNA from 1 species
AUUGAACGCUGGCGGCAGGCCUAACACAUGCAAGUCGCACGAGUGGCGGACGGGUGAGUACUGUCUGGGAAACUGCCUGAUGGAGGGGGAUAACUACUGUAAACGGUAGCUAAUACCGCCUACCAUCGGAUGUGCCCAGAUGGGAUUAGCUAGUGGGUGGGGUAAAGGCUCACCUAGGCGACGAUACCUAGCUGGUCUGAGAGGAUGACCAGCCACACUGGAACUGAGACACGGUCCAGACUCCGACGGGAGGCAGCAGUGGGGAAUAUUGAACAAUGGGCGAAAGCCUGAAGCAGACAAGCCGCGUGUAUGAAGAAGGCCUUCGGGUUGUAAAGUACGUUCAGCGGGGAGGCGUUACCCGCAGAAGAAGCACAGGCUAACUCCGUGCCAGAAGCCGCGGUAAUUC